AAGCCAGUGUUGAAGCCUUCCUCAUUGUCGUGCAACCAGGACAGCCCUUCCUCCUGCAUGUUGGUGAAAACAAGAGCAGCACCAAAGACACUUCACCAUCAGUGAUCAAAAGAUCAUCCAAGUCCCUGUGGCAAGCAGUCUUCUGCAUGGUCAGCGUUGAAGGCCAUAUUGUCUUUGAGAGGGUCCAGCCAACAUUCCAGACAGGACAGCGUUGUCCAUCUUCCACAUCUUCUACCUUCUAACAUUUGACGAAGUUGCUUCAUUGGGAUUAACCCAGAAAGGGGCACAAAAGUCAGUCAUGGGAAGAUGGUAUCCAAAAAAACAGGAAAGACCAUUCAAAAGAAAAAGUGACAGUCAAUGUUCAGGUUUCCACCCUCAUCAAAAACCUAAUAGACUUUGAGUGGCAUCUCAUUCAGUAAGUGCCACUUGGACUCUUGAAAACCAUUAAUAGUUCACAUUUUAAAACCCUGUUAAUACUAGAAUUCCACAUUAUUUCAGCCAUGUUGAAUUUUAGAUUUUGGAAGUCCUUUUUAAUUGAUUUGCUUAGUGAUACCCAAAGUAUGGAUAUUUCUUUAAGAACUGUGUUUUUAUGUUCAUAGGAUUGUAGAAAUUAAUGAGUUAAACUCAGUUUAUGUCGCUGUAAACUGAAAGUCUUCAAUUUUUAUUCCUGUGUUAGUGAAACUAUACAUUGACUUUGAAGGCUUUUUUACCAGUUCUCUGAGGAAUGGUUGUUAUUCGUUUUGAAUGUUUGAAUAUACUGGAAAUAUAUGUGGCUUGAGGCAUAGUGGUGCCUUUAAAUAAAAAUUCUGUUCUGACGGUUA